rnacentral:rRNA from 1 species
UCCACCAAGCCACAUUUUUAACCUUUGACCUCGGAUCAGGUAGGGAUACCCGCUGAGUUA